rnacentral:rRNA from 1 species
UCAAGGGCGAGGGAGUGACUUAGUGGCGGACGGGUGAGUAAUGCGUGAGCAACCUGCCCUUCAGAGGGGGGACAACGGCUGGAAACGGCUGCUAAUACCGCAUAAAGUACAGAUGAGGCAUCUCGACUGUACCAAAGAUUUAUCGCUGAAGGAUGGGCUCACGUCUGAUUAGCUAGUUGGUGAGGUAAUGGCUCACCAAGGCUGCGAUCAGUAGCCGGACUGAGAGGUUGGCCGGCCACAUUGGGACUGAGAUACGGCCCAGACUCCUACGGGAGGCAGCAGUGGGGAAUAUUGGGCAAUGGGCGCAAGCCCUGACCCAGCAACGCCGCGUGAAGGAAGAAGGCUUUCGGGUUGUAAACUUCUUUUGGCAGGGACGAAGAAAGUGACGGUACCUGCAGAAUAAGCUCCGGCUAACUACGUGCCAGCCGCCGC